rnacentral:rRNA from 1 species
UGAGGAAUAUUGGUCAAUGGGCGAGAGCCUGAACCAGCCAAGUCGCGUGAAGGAAGACAGUCCUAAGGAUUGUAAACUUCUUUUAUACGGGAAUAACGGGCGAUACGAGUAUUGCAUUGAAUGUACCGUAAGAAUAAGCAACGGCUAACUCCGUGCCAGCAGCCGCGGUAAUACGGAGGAUGCGAGCGUUAUCCGGAUUUAUUGGGUUCAAAGGGUGCGUAGGUUGUUCGGUAAGUCAGCGGUGAAACCUGAGCGCUCAACGUUCAGCCUGCCGUUGAAACUGCCGGGCUUGAGUUCAGUGGCGGCAGGCGGAAUUCGUGGUGUAGCGGUGAAAUGCAUAGAUAUCACGAGGAACUCCGAUUGCGAAGGCAGCUUGCCAUACUGCGACUGACACUGAAGCACGAAGGCGUGGGUAUCAAACAGG